GCCUGACGGAGCAAUACCGCGUGAGGGAGGAAGGCUCUUGGGUCGUAAACCUCUUUUCUCAAGGAAGAAGAAAGUGACGGUACUUGAGGAAUAAGCAUCGGCUAACUCCGUGCCAGCAGCCGCGGUAAUACGGAGGAUGCAAGCGUUAUCCGGAAUGAUUGGGCGUAAAGGGUCUGCAGGUGGAACUGAAAGUCUGCUGUUAAAGAGUUUGGCUUAACCAAAUAAAAGCGGUGGAAACUACAGAACUAGAGUGCGGUAGGGGCAAAAGGAAUUCCUGGUGUAGCGGUGAAAUGCGUAGAUAUCAGGAAGAACACCGGUGGCGAAAGCGUUUUGCUAGACCGUAACUGACACUGAGGGACGAAAGCUAGGGGAGCGAAUGGGAUUAGA
rnacentral:rRNA from 8 species